ensembl:lncRNA
AAAGUUUUGGAGCUGGAUGGAAAGGCAGAAUUCUCUAAUGUAAUAAUGAUGGAAAGUUCCGGAGCAUGUAGAAGAGACAUGGAUGCAAAGCUGCCGGUGGAAUUCAUGGAAGCCCUUUAUACUGCUCUCCGAGAACAGAUCCAAUCCUUUGAGGAGCACGUAAGAAGUUGCCAGAAAGCUUUUGACCUCGACACUCUAUACAAUGCAUUGUUGCUGUUGCUGCCCGAAAGUGGUGGCAGUAGAGAUGUUCAGAGCCUUGAGCAGCUAGAAAAGCUUGUUGAAUCCAGAGAAUGGGAUGCAGGAGAUACAGUGAUGACUGUAGCUGGCUAUGAUAAGUGUGACCUUCGCAGCUAUAUUUCCUGGUUUGUCUCUUAUGUGAGGUACCUAGGUGCUUUGAAGGAGAAGUUUGACACUAAGGUUGUGUUUCCUCUGUGUGAGAGCCUAUAUGUUAAUGAUGACUCCCUUGAUGCCGUCCCCAUGAAAUGCAGAAAUGGCCUCCCCAUCAGAACAUCUGUUGCACAUAUAGCCAAGCAUCUGUUUGCUGUCAGGAGGAAAUGGGCCUUACUCCUAAAAGGGGGCCUGAUCGAUGAACAGGCUUUCAGCGCCCAGAGCCUUCUUGACCUGAAGGGUUUUGCUAGUGCCUGCAACUUUAUGAAGGUCCUAAGGCUGGUUCCUGACCUCUUUAACAAGAGUCUGACUACUGCUGAACUAGCUAGGCAGUGGAUACAGUGUCAUGCUAGGAGAUACAGCUCCUACCCAGCGCACGCAGAUUUAGGAGCAACCAAAAGAUGCAGUGGCACAGGACUGGCUGUGGAUGCUUUGAAGCGUAAUUGGGAAGAUGUGCCCUUUGACCAUCCUGGAUUACCCACAAGCCAAAAUAAUUCCACAGAGGUACAGCCAUGGUCCAAUGCUAGCAGCGGCAAUACAGGGGAUACCAGUAUAUGGGUCAUCAGUGAAGAAAGGAAUAAGCUGCACGAGAUGCAUGGAGAACUUAAAGUCUUGCUGUGGCGGGGAGAGCGUGCUUGGACACUGGAAAUGGAAAUCCAAGAGGUAAAUCAGACCAUUUCUAACCUGCAGCUUCAGCAGAAGAUGAAGGAGAGAGAGCUGGAAUCCCUUGCGCACCCACUGGAGAAAGAAGAUUGGAAUCUACCCAGUACUCAGCGUCACACAGUCCUCCGUGAGCUGGAUGACCUAGGAAGGCAGCUUAGACUGGAGGAAUACCGCAAGAAAAUUCUGCAAGUUACAGGGACGCUGCCUGGAGAUUGCAAGACAAUUGCAAUUUAGGGAAGAAGUUCCUCUGGAUUUUCAGCCUGCCAGUGGAAUACAGACUGACAGACCUCAUGCAUUUCUGUGACUUUGAGCAGGUUAGAGUUCUGGUCUUUGAGAACAAAGAUCUCUAGACUGCAGUGUGUUUGACAAUAUAUACUUUGUUUAGG